rnacentral:rRNA from 1 species
GACGAACGCUGGCGGCGUGCUUAACACAUGCAAGUCGAGCGGUAAGGCCCUUUCGGGGGUACACGAGCGGCGAACGGGUGAGUAACACGUGGGUGACCUGCCCUCAGCUCUGGGAUAAGCCUGGGAAACUGGGUCUAAUACUGGAUAUGACUCCACGGUGCAUGUCGUGGGGUGGAAAGCCUUGUGCGGCUGAGGAUGGGCCCGCGGCCUAUCAGCUUGUUGGUGGGGGAUGGCCUACCAAGGCGACGACGGGUAGCUGGUCUGAGAGGAUGGCCAGCCACAUUGGGACUGAGACACGGCCCAGACUCCUACGGGAGGCAGCAGUGGGGAAUAAUUGCGCAAUGGGCGAAAGCCUGACGCAGCGACGCCGCGUGU